UCUGUUUGGUCUUAUUAAUGUCACGUCCCCAGCAAAAUUUUUUACAUGCAGUUUAUGCUGUUAUAUCGUUCCUACCAAUGUUGACACCAAACCUACGCCCUUGAUGACAGGUGAGUUAUUUUCUCCACUGAAAUUUUUAAACUCACUGAAUUAUUGACUUAUUUACAAACGGGUUGGUUUCUAACGUGGCUUUUGGGGGAGAGUCUGUGUAUGUUUCGUCCAUUCGUUUUUGUGGUGGAUGGGGAUUUUUGUUUUUUACUUAAGUAAAAGUACAGCACUGUAACCAUAGGCAGAGUUUGACUUUUGGGGCAAGGGGGGCACAACACGUUGAUGAUUCCGAAUAAACUGUAUGUAUUUGAAAACAUUUUCAAAACCGAAGAGGAAAUAUUUACCUGAUAUCUUGAUAUUAAUAUAUAUUAAUAUAUUAUUUCUGACCAGAAUUGGAAUACAGUAUAUUUUAUAUAUUGCUUUUGACGCCAUUUAUACAGCUAGCGUUUGCGCAUGCGCGCUAUCGGUUCGCGACCCGGAAGUAGAACAAAGCGGAAAAGGAAACGACAUUCUGAUUUGUUUGGCGUGUUUUUGUUUAUUUGUUUCUUUUUCUUUCUUUCUUUUUUUUUUUUUGUAAAUGUCUUUUACGCAUAAUCCAGUACCAUAUAUUAAGAAGAUUACCACACUCCCAUAUGGAUCCAUUAUACGAUUUUACUUCCGAGUUUUAGUGGGUAGUGGAGCCACGGUUAGUUCCAAACAUGGCUUCGACGUGGGAGGACUGCAUUCAUACGAAUGGCUUGCUGUAAAGUGUAUUCGGAGGUCACAUUUUCAGGAUCCACAUCAAGCUGUUGUUGGUGCCUGCUGAAGGUGACUGCUGGCUGUGGGCACUAAGCCUAUUUUUAAAUAGCAACAAACAAACAAAAAAAGCCGUUAAUUUCAUGUUUUGAUGACCAUUGCCAUCCAUUUUUUCUACUGCUCUUGGUCCUUGGGGAAACUAUGCUGCACAACCAACCAUCACAGGCCACCGAUCUCUAAAAUGUUAGGUGUAAACAAUGAACCAUGACACCAAUUUUUGGGAAACAAGUGUUUUUAUAUGUCAAUGCGACAAAACAAACUUGGAACUACCAUUUAGAACGAGGGAACAAAGUAUGUUAUACAUGACGUUAUCUUGAACUAAUUUGCUCCCAAAAACGUAAAAAUAUGUUCAAUUUUAAUUGUUUCAGUGUCCCAAAGACGUAUGUAUACAUCUUUUACGUUUUUUUUUCCCCAAAAGAGACAUCUCUGGGUUCUGAUUCAAUUUAGCUCCAAAACACAAAACUGAAAAUCCAUUUUAAAGCAAUAAAACUGGCCACUGGAGGGCAGUAGCGCAUUUGAUAAGACCCGCAACCAGAUUGAACUGCAACGAACGGCCAAGCCGAAGACGACCGAAUGGAUGCCAGGCGGCGGACGACUGAGCAGAACAACCGGUAGGAUGCCCGGGAUGCCAGACGCUGGACGACCGAGCAGAACAACCGGGACCACAAGUGCAGCGGACGAUGCCUUUGAGUGCAUGCUGCUUGUGAGCAGAGCCCGCAGAGACUCAAAAAACUUUAUGAAACAGGCGGCGAUGAGGGAAAAGUUUAACCGGCUGUCGCGGCCGGAACAGCGUCAUCUUUCAGUUAUGUGUAAAUAAAUUGUUUGCUAUCAAAAGCUCUAUUUGUCUUGUUGCUUAUCUUAUUUUGUAAAAGGAAAACAUUAUUAAGAUGUUUGGGAUGUACCUACAGCAAAAAAUAGCUGUGUUAAAGUCAAAGUUAUGUUUGAAAUGUAUGCUUUCACAAAAAGCUCAAUUUCUCUGUUUUUUUCAUCAGAAAUUGGAAAAUUGCUCAAACUAAGCUAUUUUCUAAUGCUGAUUUCUAAAUAGUGGAAAAAGAUAUGGACUAACUUUUUUUCUGCUGAAAGAAGGGAGUGUAAUCUUUCGGUGAGUUCCAUGUUUAUAUAGCAAUAGAAAAGAAUUUUCUGUGGGCCUUGCAACAUCAGUCAAAAUCCAGUAAAAUGGCCGGGAGCAAACCCAAACCCUUGCUCCGGUGAAAAUGGCUGGGAGUGAAUGACUUAAUAUAUUACCACAGGUAGGUGAAUCAAGGAAAUCUAGACAUUCUUUGGAAAAACAGUAUUGUAGUUGUGAAAAAAGAAAAACCUAAAUCAUCUUUCAUUUCAAUGUAAAAGUCAAUUUCCCGUGCUAAUUCUAACAGAAACAUGAAACUUUCACUCCACAACAUGGGAAAUUUCCCUUCUGCGUAAGAGUUUACAUAGUUUUCAGUUGUCGCUUGACCACUCCAAAUGUAAAACUAGCACUUACAUAUAUGUCAUAGUGUAAUGACAAACAAGUACUUGGAUAUGAUUUUAUCCAUUUUUGUAUAAAUGUCACAAUUACCGCUGUCAGUUCCAUUGCAAACCGCUACAGCGCUGCUUGUGCUUGGAACUACUCACGCCCCGCAUGAAUCACGUGACCACCGGCGUUGAGGACAAAGAGUGUCGCGAGCAAAAGUCUUGACCAAGAUCAGAUCAAUUCAUUUGGCGCACAUCUAAAAUCUGAUGAACCGAAAUCCGGGCAUGAAUGACGUCACCAGCCACAGCUGCGCCGCCAUAUUGAAGAGGGGGCAAAACACGAGUCACAAGCAGCUGCUCUGUCGUUCAUUGUAGUACAAACGCGUUGAACUUUUGUCUUAUUUGCGGUCUUUUUUUCCGUCGGAAUGACUAAAAGUUGCUGUGUUGCAGGUUGUAACAAGGAAGAGUUCGGAGCCGCGUUUGAAGUUCUUCAUUCUUCCUCGUGAGAAGAAAAGGAGAAGCAAAUGGCUGAAAGCGAUCAAUCGAAGAGUAAAAGAAGAUGGUUCCGUGGACCCUUCUCGCCUGUGGGAACCUAAAUCUAGGCACAUUUACGUUUGCAGCAAACAUUUUUUUACUAGUGAGUAAACUUUAAUCGAUUCCCCCGCCAAUUAGCUGCUAGGAUUCAAUAGACUAGGCAGUGGUUAUGAUUACCGUAACCGACAACUUGCAAAGCGUUAUUCUUUUGACGUGAACUGCUCUUGACCAAUCGGUAUGUUAUUGGCCUCAUGGGAAUUAGUUAUUUUGCCGUGACGUGACUCAUGCACUACGGUCUUGCCUCGUGACCCCAUAGGCGAAGUUUGAUUUUUGGGGCAGGUUGGCACCACAUCUUGAUGACCCCAAAAUGCCGUGUCAGCAAUAAAAUUAACUUAGAAGAAUAUUGAUAAUAAUAAGUUGACAUUGAGCGUUUUUUCUUUCCCAUCAUCAUUCUUUUAGGAAAACUCAAUUUUUGACUUUUUUGUACAGGGGGGUGCUUACGCGUUAUUUCAAAAUGUUAUAAAACGGUCAAAAAACGCUUUUGGGCCAGAGAGCGCCGGGAAACGUUCCAAAAACCCGUCAGGACUCUCGGCACAGCCCAAAUAUGCAAAACAAUUUGACUUUUGGGGAAAGUCAAUUUUUGACUUUUUCGUAAGGGGUGGUGGUUACGCAUUUUUUCAAAAUUUCAAAAACGGUCAAAAAAUACUUUGGGGCCAGGGAGCGCCGGGAAACGUUCCAAAAACCCAUCAGGACUCUCGGCACAGCCCAAAUAUGCAAAAAAAGUGGACUUUUGGGGAAAGUCAAUUUUUGACUUUUUCGUAAGGGGGGGUGGUUACGCAUUUUUUCAAAAUUUCAAAAACGGUCAAAAAAUACUUUCGGGCCAAGGAGCGCCGGGAAACGUUCCAAAAACCCGUCAGGACUCUCGGCACAGCCCAAAUAUGCAAAACAAUUCGACUUUUGGGGAAAGUCCAUUUUUGACUUUUUCGUAAGGGGGGGUGGUUACGCAUUUUUUCAAAAUUUCAAAAACGGUCAAAAAAUACUUUCGGGCCAGGGAGCACCGGGAAACGUUCCAAAAACCCGUCGGGACUCUCGGCACAGCCCAAAUAUGCAAAAAAAUUCAACUUUUGGGAAAAGUCAAUUUUUGACUUUUUCGUAAGGGGGUUGGUUACGCAUUUUUUCAAAAUUUCAAAAACGGUCAAAAAAUACUUUCGGGCCAGGGAGCGCCGGGAAACGUUCCAAAAACCCGUGAGGACUCUCGGCACAGCCCAAAUAUUCAAAAAAAGUGGACAUUUGGGGAAAGUCAAUUUUUGACUUUUUCGUAAGGGGGGGUGGUUACCUAUUUUUUCAAAAUUUCAAAAACGGUCAAAAAAUACUUUCGGGCCAGGGAGCGCCGGGAAACGUUCCAAAAACCCGUCAGGACUCUCGGCACAGCCCAAAUAUGCAAAAAAAUUCAACUUUUGGGAAAAGUCAAUUUUUGACUUUUUCGUAAGGGGGGGUGGUUACGCAUUUUUUCAAAAUUUCAAAAACGGUCAAAAAAUACUUUUGGGCCAGGAAGCGCCGGGAAACGUUCCAAAAACUCGUCAGGACUCUCGGCACAGCCCAAAUAUGCAAAAAAAGUGGACUUUUGGGGAAAGUCAAUUUUUGACUUUUUCGUAAGGGGGGGUGGUUACGCAUUUUUUCAAAAUUUCAAAAACGGUCAAAAAAUACUUUCGG